rnacentral:rRNA from 1 species
GUCGAGAAUCUUCGGCAAUGGGCUCACGCCUGACCGAGCGACGCCGCGUGGAGGAUGAAGGCCUUCGGGUUGUAAACUCCUGUCGAGGGGGAGGAAGCGUGGCAACACGUUGACCGAUCCCUGGAGGAAGGACGGGCUAAGUUCGUGCCAGCAGCCGCGGUAAGACGAACCGUCCGAACGUUAUUCGGAAUUACUGGGCUUAAAGCGCGUGUAGGCGGCCCGGUGCGUCGGCUGCUGAAAUCCCCCGGCUUAACCGGGGAAGUGGCACCGAUACGACCGGGCUGGAGGGAGGUAGGGGGGUCUGGAACUUCCGGUGGAGCGGUGAAAUGCGUUGAGAUCGGAAGGAACGCCCGUGGCGAAAGCGAGGCCCUGGACCUUUUCUGACGCUGAGACGCGAAAGCCAGGGGAGCGAACGGG